CGGCAUGCCUUACACAUGCAAGUCGAACGGCAGCGCGGGGCAACCUGGCGGCGAGUGGCGAACGGGUGAGUAAUAUAUCGGAACGUACCCUGGAGUGGGGGAUAACGUAGCGAAAGUUACGCUAAUACCGCAUACGAUCUAAGGAUGAAAGUGGGGGAUUCGCAAGAACCUCAUGCUCCUGGAGCGGCCGAUAUCUGAUUAGCUAGUUGGUGGGGUAAAGGCCCACCAAGGCAUCGAUCAGUAGCUGGUCUGAGAGGACGACCAGCCACACUGGAACUGAGACACGGUCCAGACUCCUACGGGAGGCAGCAGUGGGGAAUUUUGGACAAUGGGCGCAAGCCUGAUCCAGCAAUGCCGCGUGAGUGAAGAAGGCCUUCGGGUUGUAAAGCUCUUUUGUCAGGGAAGAAACGGUGAUUUCUAAUACAGAUUGCUAAUGACGGUACCUGAAGAAUAAGCACCGGCUAACUACGUGCCAGCAGCCGCGGUAAUACGUAGGGUGCAAGCGUUAAUCGGAAUUACUGGGCGUAAAGCGUGCGCAGGCGGUUUUGUAAGUUUGUCGUGAAAUCCCCGGGCUCAACCUGGGAAUGGCGAUGAAGACUGCAAGGCUAGAGUUUGGCAGAGGGGGGUAGAAUUCCACGUGUAGCAGUGAAAUGCGUAGAUAUGUGGAGGAACACCGAUGGCGAAGGCAGCCCCCUGGGUCAAAACUGACGCUCA
rnacentral:rRNA from 1 species